CUGUGUGUGUCUGUGUGUGUGUAUGGGUCAGUCUGUGUGUGUGUAUGGGUCAGUCUGUGUGUGUGUGUGUGUGUAUGGGUCAGUCUGUGUGUGUGUAUGGGUCAGUCUGUGUGUGUAUGGGUCAGUCUGUGUGUGUAUGGGUCAGUCUGUGUGUGUGUAUGGGUCAGUCUGUGUGUGUGUAUGGGUCAGUCUGUGGAUUUGUAUGGGUCAGUCUGUGUGUGUGUGUGUGUGUGUGCAUUUGUGUGUGUAAGGUUCAGUCUGUGGGUUUGUGUGGGUCAGUCUGUGUAAAUGCUAGAGCUCCAAGAGAGAUAUCUCUCAUCUCGUGACCUCCCCUGUACCCGAUGGAUAGGCAGCUUUCUCAACCACCACAGAUCUGAUUGUGCCACCCCCUCC